rnacentral:tRNA from 1 species
UUGAAAUACUUUUAAAAAAGCUUCUAACUUUAAACUAAGCAUUAAAUUGUUUGU